rnacentral:rRNA from 1 species
CCUACGGGGGGCAGCAGUGAGGAAUAUUGGUCAAUGGGCGAGAGCCUGAACCAGCCAAGUAGCGUGAGGGAUGAAGGCUCUAUGGGUCGUAAACCUCUUUUAUAUGGGAAUAAAGUUUUCCACGUGUGGAAUUUUGUAUGUACCAUAUGAAUAAGGAUCGGCUAACUCCGUGCCAGCAGCCGCGGUAAUACGGAGGAUCCGAGCGUUAUCCGGAUUUAUUGGGUUUAAAGGGAGCGUAGGUGGAUUGUUAAGUCAGUUGUGAAAGUUUGCGGCUCAACCGUAAAAUUGCAGUUGAAACUGGCAGUCUUGAGUACAGUAGAGGUGGGCGGAAUUCGUGGUGUAGCGGUGAAAUGCUUAGAUAUCACGAAGAACUCCGAUUGCGAAGGCAGCUCACUAGACUGCAACUGACACUGAGGCUCGAAAGUGUGGGUAUCAAACAGGAUUAGAUACCCCUGUAGUC